GACGAACGCUGGCGGCGUGCUUAACACAUGCAAGUCGAGCGGUAAGGCCCUUUCGGGGUACGACGAGCGGCGAACGGGUAGAGUAACACGUGGGUGGACCUCGCCCUCCAGCUCUGGGAGUAAGACCCGGGGAAACCGUAGGGUCGUAAUACUGGAUAUGACUCCAUGACGCAUGUUGUGGGGUGGAAAGCCUUGUGCGGCUGAGGA
rnacentral:rRNA from 1 species